rnacentral:rRNA from 1 species
CUACGGAACUCCUACGGGAGGCAGCAGUGGGGAAUAUUGCACAAUGGGCGCAAGCCUGAUGCAGCGACGCCGCGUGAGGGAUGACGGCCUUCGGGUUGUAAACCUCUUUCAGUAGGGAAGAAGCGAAAGUGACGGUACCUGCAGAAGAAGCGCCGGCUAACUACGUGCCAGCAGCCGCGGUAAUACGUAGGGCGCAAGCGUUAUCCGGAAUUAUUGGGCGUAAAGAGCUCGUAGGCGGUUUGUCGCGUCUGCCGUGAAAGUCCGGGGCUCAACUCCGGAUCUGCGGUGGGUACGGGCAGACUAGAGUGAUGUAGGGGAGACUGGAAUUCCUGGUGUAGCGGUGAAAUGCGCAGAUAUCAGGAGGAACACCGAUGGCGAAGGCAGGUCUCUGGGCAUUAACUGACGCUGAGGAGCGAAAGCAUGGGGAGCGAACAGGAUUAGAUACCCGGGUAGUCCUCUUCGA